rnacentral:rRNA from 1 species
AUUGAACGCUGGCGGCAUGCUUUACACAUGCAAGUCGUGCGGCAGCGCGGGACUCGGGCAACCGAGCUCUGGCGGCGAGCGGCGAACGGGUGAGGAAUACAUCGGAACGUACCCGGAGUGGGGGAUAACCCAGCGAAAGUUGGACUAAUACCGCAUAUGCUCUGAGGAGGAAAGCAGGGGACUUCGCAAGAGGCCUUGCGCUCUGGGAGCGGCCGAUGUCCGAUUAGCUAGUUGGUGGGGUAAUGGCUCACCAAGGCGACGAUCAGUAGCUGGUCUGAGAGGAUGAUCAGCCACACUGGGACUGAGACACGGCCCAGACUCCUACGGGAGGCAGCAGUGGGAAUUUUGGACAAUGGGGCAACCCUGAUCCAGCCAUGCCGCGUGCGGGAAGAAGGCCU